UACGUAGGUGGCAAGCGUUGUCCGGAAUCACUGGGCGUAAAGCGCGCGCAGGCGGCGAUCUACGUCUGGGGGUGAAAGCCCCGGAGCUCAACUCCGGGACUGCCUUGGAUACGGGAUCGCUUGAGGAUUGGAGAGGCAAGGGGAAUUCCACGUGUAGCGGUGAAAUGCGUAGAUAUGUGGAGGAACACCUGUGGCGAAGGCGCCUUGCUGGCCAAUUUCUGACGCUGAGGCGCGAAAGCGUGGGGAGCAAACAGG
rnacentral:rRNA from 1 species